AUGUCUGUAACUUAAAGGAAAAAUGUCUGACUUCGGAACAGAGUAUGUGGGUUCGAUUCCUCCCAGGUAAU
rnacentral:tRNA from 1 species